GCUGGGUGUGGUGGCACAUGUCUGUAAUUCCAGUGGCUUGGGAGGCUGAGGCAGGAGGAUCACAAGUUCAAAGCCAGCCUCAGCAAUUUAGCAAGCGCCUAAGCAACUUAGUGAGACCCUGUCUCAA
rnacentral:sRNA from 1 species